rnacentral:lncRNA from 1 species
AUAAAAAUUUGAUGUUAUAUUUGAAUUUGUAUUUUAAAAUUUUAAAUUUAAUAUAAUUUAUUUUGAAAUAUUGAAAAAAGAAAUAAUUGUUUCGGGUUCAAAUUUUCGGGUUCGGGUUCGGGUUCGGGUUUCGGAUUUUUGGUCGGGUUCGGGUUUGGAUAUGGAUUUUUAAAAUCCGUCGGGUUCGGGUUCGGGUUCGGGUCUCGGGUUUGGAGUCGGGUUCGGGUUUUUAAAAAUCCGCCCCGAAUCCGACCCGUUGACAUCUCUAAUUGUGCGUGUGUCAAUAGUGGACUGGACCCUCCAAAUAAAGUUUAUGAUGAUUUAUGUCCGUUUGACUUGAACGUAUGGCCUAGUUAUGUGAACAAUUACGGCCACAAUUAUAUUCCUAGUACUAAUUAUUUGUUGGAUUCAAAUUAUUAGUGUAAAAUGCUAAAGCUCAUUUACUGUCUAAUUAGAGUGUCGGCGAUAUCUGAUCAUCUCUAUGACAAAGAAUUUUGUGGUUGAUACUUGAUAUUCAAAAUUCCAAAUUCUAAACUUAAGUGUUUCACAUUUCGAACUAAAUUUAUUUUUUAAAGAAAAUAGUGAAUCGGAUAGUGUGUUAUAUUUCUCUCUAAAAAAACAAGAGUGCCGGCGAUAGAUAGUACACUCAUAUU